GCAUAUCAAUAAGCGGAGGAAAAGAAACCAACAGGGAUUGCCCCCAGUAACGGCGAGUGAAGCGGGCAAGAGCUCAAAUUUGAAAGCUGGCUCCUUCGGGGUCCGCAUUGUAAUUUGCAGAGGAUGCUUCGGGAGCGGUCCCCAUCUAAGUUCCCUGGAACGGGACGUCAUAGAGGGUGAAAAUCCCGUAUGGGAUGGGGUGUCCGCGCCCGUGUGAAGCUCCUUCGACGAGUCGAGUUGUUUGGGAAUGCAGCUCUAAAUGGGUGGUAAAUUUCAUCUAAAGCUAAAUAUUGGCCGGAGACCGAUAGCGCACAAGUAGAGUGAUCGAAAGAUGAAAAGCACUUUGAAAAGAGAGUUAAAAAGCACGUGAAAUUGUUGAAAGGGAAGCGCUUGCGACCAGACUCGCUCGCGGGGUUCAGCCGGCAUUCGUGCCGGUGUACUUCCCCGCGGGCGGGCCAACGUCGGUUUGGGCGGUCGGUCAAAGGCCCUCGGAAGGUAACGCCCCCAGGGGCGUCUUAUAGCCGAGGGUGCAAUGCGACCUGCCUAGACCGAGGAACGCGCUUCGGCUCGGACGUUGGCAUAAUGGUCGUAAGCGACCCGUCUUGAAACACGGACCAAGGAGUCUAACAUCUACGCGAGUGUUCGGGUGUCAAACCCGUGCGCGCAGUGAAAGCGAACGGAGGUGGGAACCCUUUGGGUGCACCAUCGACCGAUCCUGAUGUCUUCGGAUGGAUUUGAGUAAGAGCGUAGCUGUUGGGACCCGAAAGAUGGUGAACUAUGCCUGAAUAGGGCGAAGCCAGAGGAAACUCUGGUGGAGGCUCGUAGCGGUUCUGACGUGCAAAUCGAUCGUCGAAUUUGGGGUAUAGGGGGCGAAAGACUAAUCGAACCAUCUGGUAGCUGGUUCCUGCCGAA
rnacentral:rRNA from 1 species